AACGAACGCUGGCGGCAGGCCUAAUACAUGCAAGUCGAACGCUCGUAGCAAUACGAGAGUGGCAGACGGGUGAGUAACACGUGGGAACCUUCCCUUUGGUUCGGAAUAGCCCAGGGAAACUUGGGGUAAUACCGGAUAAGCCCUUACGGGGAAAGAUUUAUCGCCGAAGGAUGGGCCCGCGUCGGAUUAGCUAGUUGGUGGGGUAACGGCCUACCAAGGCGACGAUCCGUAGCUGGUCUGAGAGGAUGAUCAGCCACACUGGGACUGAGACACGGCCCAGACUCCUACGGGAGGCAGCAGUAGGGAAUAUUGGACAAUGGGCGCAAGCCUGAUCCAGCCAUGCCGCGUGAGUGACGAAGGCCUUCGGGUUGUAAAGCUCUUUUGGCGGGGACGAUAAUGACGGUACCCGCAGAAUAAGCUCCGGCUAACUUCGUGCCAGCAGCCGCGGUAACAC
rnacentral:rRNA from 1 species